CAACUCGGCUGCAUGAAGCUGGAAUCGCUAGUAAUCGCGAAUCAGAAUGUCGCGGUGAAUACGUUCCCGGGUCUUGUACACACCGCCCGUCACACCAUGAGAGUCGGGAACACCCGAAGUCCGUAGCCUGACCGCAAGGGGGCGCGGCCGAAGGUGGGUUCGAUAAUUGGGGUGAAGUCGUAACAAGGUACC
rnacentral:rRNA from 1 species